rnacentral:rRNA from 1 species
UACGGAGGGGGCGAGCGUUAUUCGGAAUUAUUGGGCGUAAAGGGCGCGUAGGCGGCGCGGUAAGUCAAAGGUGAAAUCCCUCGGCUCAACUGAGGAACUGCCUUUGAUACUGCCGUGCUCGAGGCCGGGAGGGGGUAGCGGAAUUCCCAGUGUAGCGGUGAAAUGCGUAGAUAUUGGGAGGAACACCGGUGGUGUAGACGGCUUUCUGGACCGUAACUGACGCUGAGACACGAAAGCGUGGGUAGCAAACAGG